CGGCCGUACUCCCCAGGCGGUCGACUUAUCGCGUUAGCUGCGCCACUAAGAUCUCAAGGAUCCCAACGGCUAGUCGACAUCGUUUACGGCGUGGACUACCAGGGUAUCUAAUCCUGUUUGCUCCCCACGCUUUCGCACCUCAGUGUCAGUAUCAGUCCAGGUGGUCGCCUUCGCCACUGGUGUUCCUUCCUAUAUCUACGCAUUUCACCGCUACACAGGAAAUUCCACCACCCUCUACCGUACUCUAGCUCAGUAGUUUUGGAUGCAGUUCCCAGGUUGAGCCCGGGGAUUUCACAUCCAACUUGCUGAACCACCUACGCGCGCUUUACGCCCAGUAAUUCCGAUUAACGCUUGCACCCUUCGUAUUACCGCGGCUGCUGGCACGAAGUUAGCCGGUGCUUAUUCUGUUGGUAACGUCAAAACAGCAAGGUAUUAACUUACUGCCCUUCCUCCCAACUUAAAGUGCUUUACAAUCCGAAGACCUUCUUCACACACGCGGCAUGGCUGGAUCAGGCUUUCGCCCAUUGUCCAAUAUUCCCCACUGCUGCCUCCCGUAGGAGUCUGGACCGUGUCUCAGUUCCAGUGUGACUGAUCAUCCUCUCAGACCAGUUACGGAUCGUCGCCUUGGUAGGCCUUUACCCCACCAACUAGCUAAUCCGACCUAGGCUCAUCUGAUAGCGUGAGGUCCGAAGAUCCCCCACUUUCUCCCUCAGGACGUAUGCGGUAUUAGCGCCCGUUUCCGGACGUUAUCCCCCACUACCAGGCAGAUUCCUAGGCAUUACUCACCCGUCCGCCGCUGAAUCCAGGAGCAAGCUCCCUUCAUCCGCUCGACUUGCAUGUGUUAGGCCUGCCGCCAGCGUUCAAUCUGAGCCAGGAUCAAACCCUC
rnacentral:rRNA from 1 species